GACGAACGCUGGCGGCGUGCCUAAUACAUGCAAGUAGAACGCUGAAGAGAGGAGCUUGCUCUUCUUGGAUGAGUUGCGAACGGGUGAGUAACGCGUAGGUAACCUGCCUGGUAGCGGGGGAUAACUAUUGGAAACGAUAGCUAAUACCGCAUAAAAUGGAUUAUCGCAUGAUAAUCCAUUGAAAGGUGCAAAUGCAUCACUACCAGAUGGACCUGCGUUGUAUUAGCUAGUUGGUGGGGUAACGGCUCACCAAGGCGACGAUACAUAGCCGACCUGAGAGGGUGAUCGGCCACACUGGGACUGAGACACGGCCCAGACUCCUACGGGAGGCAGCAGUAGGGAAUCCUCGGCAAUGGACGGAAGUCUGACCGAGCAACGCCGCGUGAGUGAAGAAGGUUUUCGGAUCGUAAAGCUCUGUUGUUAAGGAAGAACGAGUGUGAGAAUGGAAAGUUCAUACUGUGACGGUACUUAACCAGAAAGGGACGGCUAACUACGUGCCAGCAGCCGCGGUAAUACGUAGGUCCCGAGCGUUGUCCGGAUUUAUUGGGCGUAAAGCGAGCGCAGGCGGUUAGAAAAGUCUGAAGUGAAAGGCAGUGGCUCAACCAUUGUAGGCUUUGGAAACUGUUUAACUUGAGUGCAGAAGGGGAGAGUGGAAUUCCAUGUGUAGCGGUGAAAUGCGUAGAUAUAUGGAGGAACACCGGUGGCGAAAGCGGCUCUCUGGUCUGUAACUGACGCUGAGCUCGAAAGCGUGGGGAGCGAACAGGAUUAGAUACCCUGGUAGUCCACGCCGUAAACGAUGAGUGCUAGUGUUAGUCCUUUCCGGGACUUAGUGCCGCAGCUAACGCAUUAAGCACUCCGCCUGGGGAGUACGACCGCAAG
rnacentral:rRNA from 1 species